AGGGGAAACGACAUCGAAAGCUUGCUUUUGAUGGGCGUCGACCGGCGCACGGGUGAGUAACGCGUAUCCAACCUGCCCACCACUUGGGGAUAACCUUGCGAAAGUAAGACUAAUACCCAAUGAUAUCCCACGAAGGCAUCGGAAUGGGAUUAAAGAUUUAUCGGUGAUGGAUGGACCCGCGUCUGAUUAGCUUGUUGGUGAGGUAACGGCUCACCAAGGCGACGAUCAGUAGGGGUUCUGAGAGGAAGGUCCCCACAUUGGAACUGAGACACGGUCCAAACUCC
rnacentral:rRNA from 1 species